UACGUAGGGGGCAAGCGUUGUCCGGAAUUAUUGGGCGUAAAGAGCUCGUAGGUGGCCUGUCGCGUCGGCUGUGAAAACUCGGGGCUCAACUCCGAGCUUGCAGUCGAUACGGGCAGGCUAGAGUUCGGCAGGGGAGACUGGAAUUCCUGGUGUAGCGGUGAAAUGCGCAGAUAUCAGGAGGAACACCGGUGGCGAAGGCGGGUCUCUGGGCCGAUACUGACACUGAGGUGCGAAAGCGUGGGGAGCAAACAGGA
rnacentral:rRNA from 1 species